rnacentral:rRNA from 1 species
UACGUAGGGUGCGAGCGUUGUCCGGAAUUAUUGGGCGUAAAGAGCUUGUAGGCGGUCUGUCGCGUCUGCUGUGAAAAUCCGGGGCUCAACCCCGGACUUGCAGUGGGUACGGGCAGACCAGAGUGUGGUAGGGGAGACUGGAAUUCCUGGUGUAGCGGUGAAAUGCGCAGAUAUCAGGAGGAACACCGAUGGCGAAGGCAGGUCUCUGGGCCACUACUGACGCUGAGAAGCGAAAGGCAUGGGGAGCGAACAGG